UACGUAGGGGGCAAGCGUUGUCCGGAAUCAUUGGGCGUAAAGCGCGUGUAGGCGGUUCGGUAAGUCUGCUGUGAAAGUCCAGGGCUCAACCCUGGGAUGCCGGUGGAUACUGUCGGGCUAGAGUGCGGUAGAGGAUGGCGGAAUUCCCGGUGUAGCAGUGAAAUGCGUAGAGAUCGGGAGGAACAUCUGUGGCGAAGGCGGCCAUCUGGACCAGCACUGACACUGAGGCACGAAAGCGUGGGGAGCAAACAGG
rnacentral:rRNA from 1 species